rnacentral:rRNA from 1 species
UACAGAGGGUGCAAGCGUUAAUCGGAAUUACUGGGCGUAAAGCGCGCGUAGGUGGUUUGGUAAGUUGGAUGUGAAAGCCCCGGGCUCAACCUGGGAACUGCAUCCAAAACUGCCAAGCUAGAGUACGGUAGAGGGUGGUGGAAUUUCCAGUGUAGCGGUGAAAUGCGUAGAUAUUGGGAGGAACACCAGUGGCGAAGGCGACCACCUGGACUGAUACUGACACUGAGGUGCGAAAGCGUGGGGAGCAAACAGG